AUGGAAGGAGGAGACAGCCAGGGAGAAAAGGUGAGGGGACAGAAGAGCAAUGUGCAGUCCCCCCCGCAGGAGCGCUGUGCUGGCUUUCUAGAAAUUUCCCAGGACAGAAGGUCUUCCUCCUGCCUCUGCAAGGGAGGCCUGGGGAAAAGACCCAACCACACAAACCCAGCAGAAAGACCCAAACGAAACCAGUGUCCUCCACUGACGCGCCUGUGCGAGCUCGGCCCACCCCUCCAAAGCCUUCCUGUGGGGCCGUGUGUCCAGGAUGCUGUCGUCAGUCCAGAGGUUCGAAUCGUUCCCCUGCUCCGUUACUCAGCCAGUUUAAGGGCACCGCGGAACGUGAAAGAGCGUGGAGCCAAGUUUCUUAGGUGAAGAUUUGACUUGUUAGUAUUUUAAAAGAAGGGAUUUCCAGCAGGUGCUAGAGGUUUCUCUCUUUUUCAAGUAAGGGGCUUCCUGAAGGAUAAAAAAAUCAAAUUUCCACCAGGCACAGCUCUGAUGACGGAGACGUGUAUUGCUAAACUAAUAGGCUCGUUCGCCAUUAGAAGGUCAUGACCUUGGCUCUCAUCUGUUGUCAAGUUCGCAGCUGACACCUCCUCUGUGUGUAGACUUUCUUCAGUCCUCACUAGGAUGGCAAGCGGAAGGCAGGCACAGAACUCAUCACCGGGGCUGCUGGCCCUCAUGGGGCUGGGGCAGAGUCCUCAGAACAUGGUUCUUUCCACGUUUGUUGAGCUUUCUCUGUCCCAAUCUGUGAUGGGAGCAGGUAAGGCUCUCACCUGCGUGUCCCCGAGCAGGUCAGCUUUACCUCCCGACUCUGUUUCUUUAUUUAUAAAAUACAACUGGACCCGAGAGUCCCUCUACCCUUCCAUUCUAAGGGGGUCUUCAGUGCCGAAUAAGCGUGGGAUGCCCAUGGGAUUUGCCAUUUGGUUGGAAAGACAAAGCUAGUGACUGAAAACAAUCCAAAGAAUUCAGGAACAAAAUGCAGUGUGAUACCUGGAGGUACCAGAAGAAUUUGAAAACGGAAGACACCAGGGUUUCGUAAGGGCUCGGGUCAACUCCCCGAAAAUCAGCUGGGUCCGUGUAGGCUGAGAGGACGCCAGGGGAGGUGGGGUUCCUGCUGGCUCCUGAGACGUGAGUGGGACCAGGACGCGGAAGGGCAGGAGGCGUUCCAGGGCAAGGUGCCUUUCUUCACAUACACUCCUAUCAAUAAAAAUGUUCGUGUACACCCCA
rnacentral:lncRNA from 1 species